rnacentral:lncRNA from 1 species
GGGCAGGGCCGAAAGAUAAGAGCAAAGCCCACCGUCUGGUGCAGGCGACACCCUUGGGCCCUGGCCCCAGGCCUCCUCCCUCCCAUCCCUCUCCCGUCCUCCAGACAUUGCCGAGUGCACCGUCUGCGCAAACAGCCCAUUCCUCGGGUCCCCUUCACUCUUCGGUGUCUUGGAGUCUGGGUCCCCCCACCAUCACUAUUACUAGAGAAUGGCACUUUCCUCUCUUUUGUUUCAAGGAAGUAAAGCGGCUUUCCUGCUCCCCAGGAGGGAGAACUGCUGAGAAGGAAGCGCUGUGGUGGCCUCCCCAGAAGGACAGAACCAUCCGGCAGAUGGCGCUGACGAGGCAGAGCCUGCUUCCGGACCCCUCACCCCUGGGCAGAUUCUCGGGUGCACAGCCGAGUCCUCUCGUCGGCCUAUAUGUGACCCUCCAGCGAUCCCGUGUCUUUCCCCGCGUCCCACACCCACCCUGGUCUCGUGACCACUCCUGUAAACCUUCCCUGCCCUGCAGCCUGGGCUUGUGGCUCCUCACUCCACAUCUCCAGUCGAAGCUUCAGGAACAUCACAUUCAAACGUGCUAAAACGGGCCAAGCACCACCACCCACCGGGAAAGCAGCCUCUUUCCUCUCCACCCCUGUUUAACAGCGCCCUAAGACUGGGCCUCACAGCCUCGGCUGCUGCUGAUUUCCGGAUCCUGUCUGGCCAGUUUUGCCUUGUAAAUAUAUCUUAAUUCUCUUAUCUUAUCCCUGCUGGUGAUCUGCCUGUAUUUCAAACCUUGUUAUCAUUCACCUGAAUUGUUGCUCUAGGUGGCUGUCUUCUCUACCUUACCACUAAUAGAUCAUGCAUGCGGGCUCCCUGAGAUUUUCCGGUGAGAUUGAGAAUUCCACGGCUGUUGCUGGCUUUCUAGCAAAGGUAGAAGAAGGCUCUGCUCUUAGCAUGCACCACAAGCCCUCAAGACGUUGCCGCCCAAAGCCUCACCUCUGCCUCCCCCUCUACCCUCCAGUAAAACAAAUCUGUUCCCAGCCACCACACACGCAUAGUAUGCUGCCUGUCUUGUCUCCUUGCUAGGUAAUGCUGGAAGUCUGCAGCUUUGGUCAGUGAUCUCUUCCUCUGGAAAGAAUUCUGGGAGGCCCUGGGCAGGGCUUGGGGCCG